rnacentral:rRNA from 1 species
UAGCCGUAAACGAUACUCGCUAGGUGUCGGCCACGGUGCGACCGUUGUCGGUGCCGUAGGGAAGCCGUGAAGCGAGCCACCUGGGAAGUACGGCCGCAAGGCUGAAACUUAAAGGAAUUGGCGGGGGAGGCACCACAAGAGGUGGAGGGCUGCGGUUCAAUUGGACUCAACGCCGGAAACUACAUCGGGAGGCGACAGCAGUAUGAUUGCCAGGUUGAUGACCUUGCUUGACAAGCUGAGAGGUGGUGCAUGGCGUAGUCGUGU